UACAGAGGUCUCAAGCGUUGUUCGGAUUCAUUGGGCGUAAAGGGUGCGUAGGCGGCGCGGUAAGUCGGGUGUGAAAUCUCGGGGCUUAACUCCGAAACUGCAUUCGAUACUGCCGUGCUUGAGGACUGGAGAGGAGACUGGAAUUUACGGUGUAGCGGUGAAAUGCGUAGAUAUCGGGAGGAACGCCAGUGGCGAAGGCGGCUGCCUGGCCCACUCUUGACGCUGAGGCGCGAAAGCUAGGGGAGCAAACGGG
rnacentral:rRNA from 1 species